CCAAACUGUUGCCUCGGCGGGGUCACGCCCCGGGUGCGUCGCAGCCCCGGAACCAGGCGCCCGCCGGAGGAACCAACCAAACUCUUUCUGUAGUCCCCUCGCGGACGUUAUUUCUUACAGCUCUGAGCAAAAAUUCAAAAUGAAUCAAAACUUUCAACAACGGAUCUCUUGGUUCUGGCAUCGAUGAAGAACGCAGCGAAAUGCGAUAAGUAAUGUGAAUUGCAGAAUUCAGUGAAUCAUCGAAUCUUUGAACGCACAUUGCGCCCGCCAGUAUUCUGGCGGGCAUGCCUGUCCGAGCGUCAUUUCAACCCUCGAACCCCUCCGGGGGGUCGGCGUUGGGGAUCGGGAACCCCUAAGACGGGAUCCCGGCCCCGAAAUACAGUGGCGGUCUCGCCGCAGCCUCUCAUGCGCAGUAGUUUGCACAACUCGCACCGGGAGCGCGGCGCGCCCACGUCCGUAAAACACCCAAUUUCUGAAAUGUUGACCUCGGAU
rnacentral:rRNA from 1 species